AGCCAGACUACCUUCGUACACAAUUACUCAAUCCACCGUAAGGCUCUUUAAUAAGAAACAAGUGUGACAACGGCAAGGCUCUUUUCCCCCUUUCUCUCUCUUUCUCUCCUCCUCCUCCUCCCUCCCUCUUAAACCACAGAGUCAAAUAGCUCUAAUAGAGAUGAAGCUUGAUAGAUCCGCCCAGGUGUAGGUGAAAUGGUAGAGCCUCAGGGGUAAUAGAUGCUGUGCUUGCUUGCUGGAGUUUAGUGUUCUGUCCUGACCGGCUCUCCAGAGCUACGCUGACACCGGCUGCUCCUUGUACAGUUACAAAGUCAACAUGCUUCUUGCUGCUCACGUCUGUGCCUAACCCAGAGGGCAACCUGGAGCUAGGUAGGAGCCACAGAUCAGCCCUCGGACUCCAGCUCAAGGACAAAGGACCACAGAUGCAGCAAAUUUAAAGCACAAUCCAUGGGACAGCCUGUAACGUGACAAAGAAAAGACCUCAUCAAGAAAUAUCUUCAUCCCUGCAGCAUUGACUCUAAUAAUGAGAUUAAUGAUGAAUGCAAGAUUGAAGGUAAAAAAAUCAUAAAAGUUUUGCAAGUAACAGAUAUCAACAAGGACACAGAGAAGACCAACCUCUGAUGCUUUCCAGAAGAGAC
ensembl:lncRNA